rnacentral:sRNA from 1 species
CAAAGUGUCGUCCGCGUAACAAACUAC